rnacentral:rRNA from 1 species
AUUGAACGCUGGCGGCAGGCCUAACACAUGCAAGUCGAACGGUAACAGGAAGAAGCUUGCUUCUUUGCUGACGAGUGGCGGACGGGUGAGUAAUGUCUGGGAAACUGCCUGAUGGAGGGGGAUAACUACUGGAAACGGUAGCUAAUACCGCAUAAUGUCGCAAGCCCAAAGAGGGGGACCUUCGGGCCUCUUGUCAUCGGAUGUGCCCAGAUGGGAUUCGCUAGUAGGUGGGGUAACGGCUCACCUAGGCGACGAUCCGUAGCUGGUCUGAGAGGAUGACCGGCCACACGGGAACUGAGACACGGUCCAGACUCCUACGGGAGGCAGCAGUGGGGAAUAUUGCACAGUGGGCGCAAGCCUGAUGCAGCUAUGCCGCGUGUAUGAAGAAGGCCUUCGGGUUGUAAAGUACUUUCAGCGGGGAGGAAGGGAGUAAAGUUAAUACCUUUGCUCAUUGACGUUACCCGCAGAAGAAGCACCGGCUAACUCCGUG